rnacentral:rRNA from 1 species
GAGCUAAUACAUGCAGCAGAGCUCCGACCUUCGGGGACGAGCGCUUUUAUUAGACCAAGACCAAUACGGACUUCGGUUCGUACGCCACGGCGACUCUGGAUAACUUUGGGCUGAUCGCACGAUCUCGCAUCGGCGAUAUUUCUUUCAAGUGUCUGACUUAUCAACUUUCGAUGGUAGUCUAUGCGCCUACCAUGGUCGUAACGGGUAACGGGGAAUCAGGGUUCGAUUCCGGAGAGGGAGCCUGAGAAACGGCUACCACAUCCAAGGAAGGCAGCAGGCGCGCAAAUUACCCACUCCCGGCACGGGGAGGUAGUGACGAAAAAUAACAAUACGGGACUCUCUUGAGGCCCCGUAAUUGGAAUGAGUACACUCUAAAUCCUUUAACGAGGAUCUAUUGGAGGGCAAGUCUGGUGCCAGCAGCCGCGGUANNNNCAGCUCCAAUAGCGUAUAUUAAAGUUGUUGCGGUUAAAAAGCUCGUAGUUGGAUCUCAGUUACAGACGGGCGGUCCACUUUACGGUGGCUACUGCCCGGCCUGAACGUCCUGCCGGUUUUUCUCUAGGUGCUCUUCACUGAGUGUCUAGAGUGGCCGGCACGUUUACUUUGAAAAAAUUAGAGUGCUCAAAGCAGGCGUGACGCCUGAAUAAUGGUGCAUGGAAUAAUGGAAUAGGACCUCGGUUCUAUUGUGUUGGUUUUCGGAACACGAGGUAAUGAUUAAGAGGGACAGACGGGGGCAUUCGUAUUGCGACGCUAGAGGUGAAAUUCUUGGACCGUCGCAAGACGAACUACU